AACGCCGCGUGAGUGAUGAAGGGUUUCGGCUCGUAAAACUCUGUUGUUGGAGAAGAACAGGUGAUAGAGUAACUGUUAUCAUCUUGACGGUAUCCAACCAGAAAGCCACGGCUAACUACGUGCCAGCAGCCGCGGUAAUACGUAGGUGGCAAGCGUUGUCCGGAUUUAUUGGGCGUAAAGCGAGCGCAGGCGGUUUUUUAGGUCUGAUGUGAAAGCCUUCGGCUUAACCGGAGAAGGGCAUCGGAAACCGGGAGACUUGAGUGCAGAAGAGGACAGUGGAACUCCAUGUGUAGCGGUGAAAUGCGUAGAUAUAUGGAAGAACACCAGUGGCGAAGGCGGCUGUCUGGUCUGUAACUGACGCUGAGGCUCGAAAGCAUGGGUAGCGAACAGGAUUAGAUACCCUGGUAGUCCAUGCCGUAAACGAUGAGUGCUAAGUGUUGGAGGGUUUCCGCCCUUCAGUGCUGCAGCUAACGCAUUAAGCACUCCGCCUGGGGAGUACGACCGCAAGGUUGAAACUCAAAGGAAUUGACGGGGGCCCGCACAAGCGGUGGAGCAUGUGGUUUAAUUCGAUGCUACGCGAAGAACCUUACCAGGUCUUGACAUCUUCUACUAACCUAAGAGAUUAGGCGUUCCCUUCGGGGACGGAAUGACAGGUGGUGCAUGGUUGUCGUCAGCUCGUGUCGUGAGAUGCUGG
rnacentral:rRNA from 1 species